rnacentral:rRNA from 1 species
UUUAUCGGAGAGUUUGAUCCUGGCUCAGGACGAACGCUGGCGGCGUGCCUAAUACAUGCAAGUCGAGCGGACAGAUGGGAGCUUGCUCUCUGAUGUUAGCGGCGGACGGGUGAGUAACACGUGGGUAAC